rnacentral:rRNA from 1 species
CCUACGGGAGGCUGCAGUGGGGGAUAUUGCACAAUGGGGGAAACCCUGAUGCAGCGACGCCGCGUGUGGGAAGACGGUCCUCUGGAUUGUAAACCACUGUCCCCAGGGACGAAGAUGACGGUACCUGGGGCGGAAGCUCCGGCUAACUACGUGCCAGCAGCCGCGGUAAUACGUAGGGAGCGAGCGUUGUCCGGAAUUACUGGGUGUAAAGGGAGCGUAGGCGGGACUGCAAGUUGGGUGUCAAAUCUACCGGCUCAACCGGUAGCCGCACUCAAAACUGCAGUUCUUGAGUGAAGUAGAGGCAGGCGGAAUUCCUAGUGUAGCGGUGAAAUGCGUAGAUAUUAGGAGGAACACCAGUGGCGAAGGCGGCCUGCUGGGCUUUGACUGACGCUGAGGCUCGAAAGUGUGGGGAGCAAACAGGAUUAGAUACCCUAGUAGUC